CCUACGGGUGGCAGCAGUGGGGAAUAUUGCACAAUGGGGGCAACCCUGAUGCAGCGACGCCGCGUGAGUGAAGAAGGAAUUCGGUAUGUAAAGCACUAUCAGCGGGGAGGAAAAUGACGGUACCUGAGUACGAAGCCCCGGCUAACUACGUGCCAGCAGCCACCGUAAUACGUAGGGGGCAAGCGUUAUCCGGAUUUACUGGGUGUAAAGGGAGCGUAGACGGCAGUGCAAGUCUGGAGUGAAAGGCGGGGGCUCAACCCGCGGACUGCUCUGGAAACUGUACGGCUGGAGUGCAGGAGAGGUAAGUGGAAUUCCGAGUGUAGCGGUGAAAUGCGUAGAGAUUAGGAGGAAUACCAGUGGCGAAGGCGGCUGACUGGACGGUAACUGACGCUGAGGUUCGAAAGCGUGGGGAGCAAACAGGAUUAGAUACCCCUGUAGUC
rnacentral:rRNA from 1 species